GCCCUGCUUCCAGGAAAAGCCUCUAAGCAUCAGGUAACAUCAAAUCGUACCCCAAACCGACACAGGUGGUCAGGUAGAGAAUACCAAGGCGCUUGAGAGAACUCGGGUGAAGGAACUAGGCAAAAUGGUGCCGUAACUUCGGGAGAAGGCACGCUGAUAUGUAGGUGAAGUCCCUCGCGGAUGGAGCUGAAAUCAGUCGAAGAUACCAGCUGGCUGCAACUGUUUAUUAAAAACACAGCACUGUGCAAACACGAAAGUGGACGUAUACGGUGUGACGCCUGCCCGGUGCCGGAAGGUUAAUUGAUGGGGUUAGCGCAAGCGAAGCUCUUGAUCGAAGCCCCGGUAAACGGCGGCCGUAACUAUAACGGUCCUAAGGUAGCGAAAUUCCUUGUCGGGUAAGUUCCGACCUGCACGAAUGGCGUAAUGAUGGCCAGGCUGUCUCCACCCGAGACUCAGUGAAAUUGAACUCGCUGUGAAGAUGCAGUGUACCCGCGGCAAGACGGAAAGACCCCGUGAACCUUUACUAUAGCUUGACACUGAACAUUGAGCCUUGAUGUGUAGGAUAGGUGGGAGGCUUGGAAGUGUGGACGCCAGUCUGCAUGGAGCCGACCUUGAAAUACCACCCUUUAAUGUUUGAUGUUCUAACGUUGACCCGUAAUCCGGGUUGCGGACAGUGUCUGGUGGGUAGUUUGACUGGGGCGGUCUCCUCCUAAAGAGUAACGGAGGAGCACGAAGGUUGGCUAAUCCUGGUCGGACAUCAGGAGGUUAGUGCAAUGGCAUAAGCCAGCUUGACUGCGAGCGUGACGGCGCGAGCAGGUGCGAAAGCAGGUCAUAGUGAUCCGGUGGUUCUGAAUGGAAGGGCCAUCGCUCAACGGAUAAAAGGUACUCCGGGGAUAACAGGCUGAUACCGCCCAAGAGUUCAUAUCGACGGCGGUGUUUGGCACCUCGAUGUCGGCUCAUCACAUCCUGGGGCUGAAGUAGGUCCCAAGGGUAUGGCUGUUCGCCAUUUAAAGUGGUACGCGAGCUGGGUUUAGAACGUCGUGAGACAGUUCGGUCCCUAUCUGCCGUGGGCGCUGGAGAACUGAGGGGGGCUGCUCCUAGUACGAGAGGACCGGAGUGGACGCAUCACUGGUGUUCGGGUUGUCAUGCCAAUGGCACUGCCCGGUAGCUAAAUGCGGAAGAGAUAAGUGCUGAAAGCAUCUAAGCACGAAACUUGCCCCGAGAUGAGUUCUCCCUGACUCCUUGAGAGUCCUGAAGGAACGUUGAAGACGACGACGUUGAUAGGCCGGGUGUGUAAGCGCAGCGAUGCGUUGAGCUAACCGGUACUAAUGAACCGUGAGG
rnacentral:rRNA from 1 species